rnacentral:rRNA from 1 species
AUUGAACGCUGGCGGCAGGCCUAACACAUGCAAGUCGAACGAGUGGCGGACGGGUGAGUAAUGUCUGGGAAACUGCCCGAUGGAGGGGGAUAACCCCUGGAAACGGUCGCUAAUACCGCAAACCAUCGGAUGUGCCCAGAUGGGAUUCUCUAGUAGGUGGGGUAACGGCUCACCUAGGCGACGCUCCCUAGCUGGUCUGAGAGGAUGACAAGCAACACUGGAACUGAGACACGGUCCAGAAUCCUAAGGGAGGCAGCAGUAGGGAAUAUUGCACAAUGGGCGCAAGCCUGAUGCAGACAUGCAGCGUGUAUGAAGAAGGCCUUCGGGUUGUAAAGUACUUUCAGCGGGGAGGCGUUACUCGCAGAAGAAGCACCGGCUAACUCCGUGCCAGCAGCCGCGGUAAUAC